UGGGGAAUUUUGGACAAUGGGCGAAAGCCUGAUCCAGCAAUGCCGCGUGUGUGAAGAAGGCCUUCGGGUUGUAAAGCACUUUUGUCCGGAAAGAAAUCCUUGGCUCUAAUACAGUCGGGGGAUGACGGUACCGGAAGAAUAAGCACCGGCUAACUACGUGCCAGCAGCCGCGGUAAUACGUAGGGUGCAAGCGUUAAUCGGAAUUACUGGGCGUAAAGCGUGCGCAGGCGGUUUGCUAAGACCGAUGUGAAAUCCCCGGGCUCAACCUGGGAACUGCAUUGGUGACUGGCAGGCUAGAGUAUGGCAGAGGGGGGUAGAAUUCCACGUGUAGCAGUGAAAUGCGUAGAGAUGUGGAGGAAUACCGAUGGCGAAGGCAGCCCCUGGGCCAAUACUGACGCUCAUGCACGAAAGCGUGGGGAGCAAAACAGGAUUAGAUACCCUGGUAGUCCACGCCCUAAACGAUGUCAACUAGUUGUUGGGGAUUCAUUUCCUUAGUAACUAGCUAACGCGUGAAGUUGACCGCCUGGGGAGUAGGUCGCAAGAUUAAAACUUAAAGGAAUUG
rnacentral:rRNA from 1 species